rnacentral:rRNA from 1 species
UACGGAGGGGGCGAGCGUUAUUCGGAAUUAUUGGGCGUAAAGGGCGCGUAGGCGGCCUGGUCAGUCGAAGGUGAAAUCCCCGAGCUCAACUUGGGAACUGCCUUCGAUACUGCCGGGCUUGAGUCCGGGAGGGGAGAGUGGAAUUCCCAGUGUAGCGGUGAAAUGCGUAGAUAUCAGGAGGAACACCGGUGGCGAAGGCGGGUCUCUGGGCCGAUACUGACGCUGAGGAGCGAAAGCGUGGGGAGCGAACAGG